AGAGUUUGAUCAUGGCUCAGAACGAACGUUAGCGGUGUGGAUUAGGCAUGCAAGUCGUGCGCGAAAGUCCGCAAGGAUGAGUAAAGCGGCGAACGGGUGAGUAAUACGUAAUCAACCUACCCCCGAGAUCGGAAUAACCACUGGAAACGGUGGCUAAUGCUGGAUGGUCCUGCGGGCUGGCAUCAGUCUGCAGGUAAAUGGUGGCGCAAGCUGCUGUUCGGGGACGGGGUUACGGGCUAUCAGCUAGUUGGCGGGGUAACGGCCCACCAAGGCGAUGACGGCUAGCCGAUCUGAGAGGACGACCGGCCACACUGGGACUGAGACACUGCCCAGACUCCUACGGGAGGCUGCAGUCGAGGAUCUUCCGCAAUGGGCGAAAGCCUGACGGAGCGACACCGCGUGCAGGAUGAAGGCCUUCGGGUUGUAAACUGCUGUCACGCUAUAGGAAACGCCCUGGAUGAACAGUUCAGGGUCUGACUAAAGCGAGAGGAAGCACCGGCUAACUCUGUGCCAGCAGCCGCGGUAAGACAGAGGGUGCAAACGUUGUUCGGAAUCACUGGGCAUAAAGCGCACGUAGGCUGCCUUCUAAGUCAGGUGUGAAAUCCCCCGGCUCAACCGGGGAACUGCACUUGAUACUGGAAGGCUCGAGGUUGGUAGGGGUGGAUGGAACUCCAGGUGGAGCGGUGAAAUGCGUAGAUAUCUGGAGGAACACCGGAGGCGAAAGCGAUCCACUGGGCCAAAUCUGACGCUGAGGUGCGAAAGCUAGGGUAGCAAACGGGAUUAGAUACCCCGGUAGUCCUAGCCGUAAACUAUGGGUACUAGGCAAGGGGGCCACCUAUGUGCCUCUUUGCCGUAGCAAAUGUGUUAAGUACCCCGCCUGGGGAGUAUGCUCGCAAGGGUAAACUCAAAGGAAUUGACGGGGGCUCACACAAGCGGUGGAGCAUGUGGUUUAAUUCGAAGCACGCGAAAACCUUACCUGGCCUGACUACAUGGAUUAGUUCCGUGAAGCGGAAUGACAGCUCUUCGGAGUCGGAACAUGGUGCAGGUGUUGCAUGGCUGUCGUCAGCUCGUGUCGUGAGAUGUUGGGUUAAGUCCCGUAACGAGCGAAACCCCUAUUCUUAGUUGCCAGCGGGUAAUGCCGGGGACUCUAAGGAGACUGCCGUUGUCAAGACGGAGGAAGGUGGGGACGACGUCAAGUCAUCAUGGCCCUUAUGGCCAGGGCUACACACGUGCUACAAUGGUCUGUACAGAGGGUCCCGAGACCGCGAGGUGGAGGAAAUCCUAAAAGCAGACCUCAGUUCGGAUUGCAGGCUGCAAUUCGCCUGCAUGAAGCUGGAAUCGCUAGUAAUCGCGUAUCAGCUAUGACGCGGUGAAUAUGUUCCUGAGCCUUGUACACACCGCCCGUCAAGCCACGAAAGCGGGGAGUGCUCGAAGUCGCUUUGUCCAACCUUCGGGAGGGCGGCGCCGAAAGCAAGCUCCGUGAUUGGGACUAAGUC
rnacentral:rRNA from 1 species